rnacentral:rRNA from 1 species
UACGAAGGGGCUAGCGUUGUUCGGAAUUACUGGGCGUAAAGCGCGCGCAGGCGGUCCUUUAAGUCGGGGGUGAAAGCCCCAGAGCUCAACUCUGGAACUGCCUUCGAAACUAGAGGACUUGGGUACGGGAGAGGUGAGUGGAAUUCCGAGUGUAGAGGUGAAAUUCGUAGAUAUUCGGAAGAACACCAGUGGCGAAGGCGGCUCACUGGCCCGUUACCGACGCUCAGGCGCGACAGCGUGGGGAGCAAAGCAGG